AUUGACGGGGGGGCACCACAAGGGGUGAAUGCCUGCGGCUUAAUUGGACUCAACGCCGGGAAUCUUACCGGGGGCGACAGCAGGAUGAAGGUCGGGCUGAAGACCUUACCAGACGCGCUGAGGGGUGGUGCAUGGCCGUCGCCANGUCGUGCCGUGAGGUGUCCACUUAAGUGUGGUAACGAGCGAGACCCGCGCCCCCAGUUGCCAGUCCUCCCCGCUGGGGAGGAGGCACUCUGGGGGGACCGCCGGCGAUAAGCCGGAGGAAGGAGCGGGCGACGGUAGGUCAGUAUGCCCCGAAACCCCCGGGCUACACGCGCGCUACAAUGGGCGGGACAAUGGGAUCCGACCCCGAAAGGGGAAGGGAAUCCCCUAAACCCGCCCCCAGUUCGGAUCGCGGGCUGCAACUNNNNCGCGUGAAGCUGGAANNNNAGUACCNNNNUUCUCUCGCGCGGCGAAUA
rnacentral:rRNA from 1 species